UACCAGCACCCCGAGUGGUCGGGACGAUUAUUGGGCCUAAAGCAUCCGUAGCCGGUCAUGCAAGUCCUCCGUUAAAUCCACCUGCUUAACAGAUGGGCUGCGGAGGAUACUACAAGGCUAGGAGGCGGAAGAGGCAAGCGGUACUCAGUGGGUAGGGGUAAAAUCCUCUGAUCCAUUGAAGACCACCAGUGGCGAAGGCGGCUUGCCAAUACGCACUCGACGGUGAGGGAUGAAAGCUGGGGGAGCAAACCGG
rnacentral:rRNA from 1 species